UACUUUUCAAAAUUGCAGUUGAACUUGAGCCCUACGAUCGAGCUCCUUCACCUUUCUUCCUUGCUUCUUUCAGAAGCAGAGGGUGAGAGCUUAUGGAUCAUCGAACGAAGCCAUGGAAUCAUUUGGCGUCUUCAAUUAGUUUCUGUUUCUAGGAACUAUGGUUUGAUGUUGGUGCAAAGGGAAGAGAUCUUGUUGUUCUUUUACCUUUGACGUUAUGAAGACUCUGUUUCGCAUUUCGGUUGGAUUCUUUUUGGCGUUGCUAAUUUUUUACUGCAGCUUCGUUGAUUCCAAGGUGGAAGAAACUGCGAACUCCAGUCUAGAUUCAAAAACAGUGAAUAAAGUAAACGAUGCAAGCAAGGACACUGGUUCUAAUAAGGUUCUCAAUUCUAUUUCUGCUGGUAAGGAAAA